CUUUGCUUAUUCACCAAACUGAAAAUAAUAAACAAUAAUAAAGUAAAUUCAAUCUAUUAUUAAUAAUAUGGUUAAUUCAAUAUUAAAGAUUAUUCAUAAUCUAAAAUUAAGGAAUCCCAAAUAUCAAAUUACAACAAUUCCUAAUUUUCUAGUAACAGUAGCUCAAUUGAACGAACAAAAUAAAAAUUUGAAACAACAAUCCCAAACCUUAGAAACAAUCAUGGGUGGUCGCGAUGUUAAAAAGUUGUUGUAAGAUGAUGUCCACGACGGCCUACAACUCCACGGCUGUCAUAGCCGCGCCGUGGUCAUUCUCGAUUGGAAAAGAGCAAAAGAAGUAUGGGUCUUGACUGCUGAAUGGUUGUGAUAAGAGGAAUCAAUGACUCUCUUGACUGCCAAAGAAGAAGAAUUAAGACGAAGCUCUCUGCGAUGCUAUGGCAGUGCUUUCGCCUGAGAUUGUUGAGUUGAUUGAUUGUUCAUACAAUGAAUGACACGAUUAAAUCGACGGUGAGUUGUAUGGUUCUACAGUGACAUUAAGGACGCAAAUAAUUCAGGUUUUGCUCGCCGAAUUUUGAGGAUUUUGAUGGUCUCUGUCAACACCCCUUUGCAAGUUAUAGAUUAUGACUUCUGGGUUUUGGAUUUUAGUUUGUAGAAAUUAAGUUUUAGUUUUGAUUCAUUGUAGGAUUGGAUUUGAAUAUUGAUUGUACUUUUGUCAUGCACUUGUAAAGGGAAAAAAAUGAAGAAAAAGACAGAGAAGAAGUAAGGAAGAUGAAAAAGAAAUGAAGAAGAGAAAUUCAAUGUUUCAUUUAUUUUUUUUCAUUUUAAUAUUGAUUUUUAUUAUACCUAUGGACUAUAAAAUGUCUGACAUAAAAAAAUAAAUGAGUGAUGGAAUAUUUUAGAAAUUGUAAAGGGACAAAGGAAAUAUAUUUUUAAAGGCAAACUCUCUAUCUUACAUGCAUGUAAGAUAGAGGAUCCCAUUUUUAAAUAGUAGGUGUGUAACAAUUUAAGUUAAUGAUUUUCGUUAUUAGCGGGCUAUAUUGUACUUUCACGAGUUAACGGCAGUCAAUAGUUAAAGAUAACGAGUUUUGGGGGGUAGCUUGAUAUUUUCAAUAGUAAAGAGAGCAAUUCACUUCAUGAGGGGAUAGGCCGAAAUUAACCCCAUUUCUAAUUGAGUCUCACAUUACUAAAAUUUGUUAUUCUAUUUAUGAGUCAAAUCUUCAUGUACUUAUUCUAGUCCACCUGCUAAGUUAAAAAGUUUGAAGGAUGGAUUCUAUCAAUUUUUGCAUAACAAUUUAUUAUUCUAAUCACUAUUGAUGUCAACGAUAUUCUUGGAUAUAUAUAAGCCAGUUCUACCUAAUGUGUGCAUCACAAUUUAUUAUUUUGUUUAGUAGUGAAAUCCGUGACCAUCUGGUAUAGUCAAUUUAAUUUGAUGAACCACAAAUAUUGCUCGUUAUUGUUUUGGAUUAUCCUUAUAUUGGCAUGUUAUUGUUAGGGAUGGCAAAAAUCCCCACGGGAACGGGUACCCUCGGGGAUUUUCCCCAUUCGGGGAGGGUACGAGGAUAAUUUUACACCCAAUUUUUUAUUCGGGGAGGGGACGAGGAAAAUUUUUUACCCA
rnacentral:lncRNA from 1 species